GCGCCCUUAGCUCAGUGGUAGAGCGUCACAUUGACAUUGUGAAGGCCGGAGGUCCGAUCCCUCCAGGGCGCACUA
rnacentral:tRNA from 2 species